GAUGAACGCUAGCUACAGGCUUAACACGUGCAAGUCGAGGGGCAGCAUUAUCGAAGCUUGCUUUGAUAGAUGGCGACCGGCGCACGGGUGCGUAACAGGUGUGCAAUCUGUCCAUAGUCGGGGAAUAGCCCAGCGAAAGUUGGAUUAAUGCUCCAUGUGAAUCGAAGCCGCAUGACUUUGAUUUGAAACGUAAGGACUAUGGGUGAGCACGCUUCUGAUUAGGUAGUUGGUGAGGUAACGGCUCACCAAGCCGACGAUCAGUAGGGGUUCUGAGAGGAAGGUCCCCCACAUUGGAACUGAGACACGGUCCAAACUCC
rnacentral:rRNA from 1 species